rnacentral:rRNA from 1 species
UACGAGAGCCUCAAGCGUUAUUCGGAAUUAUUGGGCGUAAAGGGCGCGUAGGCGGCCAUGCGUGUCUUUCGUGAAAUCCCUCGGCUUAACUGAGGACGUGCGGAAGAAACUGCAAGGCUUGAGUCCGGGAGAGGGGGGUGGAAUUCCCAGUGUAGCGGUGAAAUGCGUAGAUAUUGGGAGGAACACCGGUGGCGAAGGCGGCCCCCUGGACCGGUACUGACGCUGAGACGCGAAAGCGUGGGGAGCGAACAGG